UGGGGAGAAAAUGAAAAAUUCUGAAAUGUCUGCAAGGCUGGAGAGCAGUUUUCCACUGUGCUCUCCUCAGAUGAGAUUGCAGAAAUUCUUCUGUUUUCUUCUUCCUCCCUGGCUCUGCCACCAGGCAAUUCUGUUCACACUGUUCUCCAAGACAAAAUCUGAGCCAGGCUGAGAUUUGUGCUGAUGUCUUCUUGGACCAGUUCCCACCGACUGAAUCUGUGGAAGGCACCAUCCUCUACUGGUCCCUGCUGUGGGCAUUGGCAGGUGUCCCAAUGGAGUUUCCAUGGAAGAUCCUUAUCAUGAGAGGCUGGUGAUGACAUGGGUUUUGUCAAAAGUGCUUACAAGGAUUGUGCUGUAAAGUUGCUGUUUUGUGGCCAAAACAUGCCCUUGCAAUUAUCCACCAGCAAUAGCUCCUGGCAUCUGUGGGAGAACACAGCCUUGC